rnacentral:lncRNA from 1 species
GUAAAAAGAUGGUUUUUGAUAUAAAUAUGUUCAUGAUUGAACAAAACAUGCAUGUAUUGUAUAACAUAAUGUCCUAGGAGUGUAAUCUGAUGAAGAUCAUCAAAGGUUAGUGCUGCAUUUAGCUGUGGUUUUGGUUUUUGUGACAUUAUAUGCUAGCUUGAAAAAUGGGUGUCUGAUUAUUUCUGGCUGGGUACUCUGCUGACAUAAUCUAAUGUUUUGCUUUAGCUGUAAAGCCUUUUUGAAAUCGGACAGUGUGGUUAGAUAAAGGAGAGUCUUGUCUUUAAAAUGGUGUAAAAUAGUCAUAUGUUUGAAAAAUUGAAGUUUUCGGAUUUUUGAGGAGUUUGUAAUUCGCGCCACGCCCUAUCAUUGGAUAUUUGAGUGGUGUUCCGCUAGCGGAACGUCUAGAUGUAAGAGGUUCUUAACUAACCUCCAGAUGAGCGUCAAUGCCAUACAACUCUACUUCCGUGGCCUCCAACUGCUCUUAAAUGCAAGUAAAACUAAAUGCAUGCUCUUCAACCGAUCGCUGCCCACACCUGCCGCCCAUCCAGCAUCGCUACUCUGGACGGUUCUGACUUAGAAUAUGUGGACAACUACAAAUACCUAGUUGUCUGUUUAGACUGUAAAUUCUCUUUCCAGACUCACAUGAAGCAUCUCCGAUCCAAAAUUAAAUCUAGAAUUGGCUUCCUAUUUCGCAACAAAGCAUCCUUCACUCAUGCUGCCAAACAUACCCUCGUAAAACUGACUAUCCUAUCGAUCCUUGACUUCAGCGAUGUCAUUUACAAAAUAGCCUCCAACACUGUACUCAGCAAAUUGGAUGCAGUCUAUCACAGUGCCAUCUGUUUUAUCACCAAAGCCCCAUAUACUACCCACCACUGCGACCUGUAUGCUCUCGUUGGCUGGCCCUCGCUACAUACUAGUCAACAAACCCACUGCCUCCAGGUCAUCUAUAAGUCUUUGCUAGGUAACGGCCCGCCUUAUCUCAGCUCACUGGUCACCAAAGCAGCACCCACCCGUAGCACGCGCUCCAGCAGGUAUAUGUUACUGGUCACCCCCAAAGCCAAUUCUUCCUUCGGCCAUUUCUAUGCUGCCAAUGACUGGAACGAACUGCAAAAAUCACUGAAGCUGGAGACUCAUAUCUCCCUCACUAACUUUAAGCACCAGCUGUCAGAGCAGCUCACAGAUCACUGCACCUGUACAUAGCCCAUCUGUAAAUAGCCCAUCCAACUACCUCAUCCUCAUGCUGUUAUGUAUUUUAUUUAUUUUGUUGCUUUGCACCCCAGUAUCUCUACUUGCACACUCAUCUUCUGCACAUUUAUCACUCCAGUGUUUAAUUGCUAUAUUGUAAUUAUUUCGCCACUAUGGCCUAUUUAUUGCCUUACCUCCCUUAUCCUACCUCAUUUGCACACACUGUAUAUAUACUUUUUUUCUAUUGUAUUAUUGACUGUAUGUUUGUUUAUUCCAUGUGUAACUCUGUGUUGUUUGUGUUGCACUGCUUUGCUUUACCUUGGCCAGGUCGCAGUUGUAAAUGAGAACUUGUUCUCAACUAGCCUACCUGGAAAAAUAAAGGUGAAAUAAAAAGUGGCCUAGUUAGUUUUUACUUAAAUUGGCUUAAAUCCAUGGCAAGACUUGAAAAUGGCUGUCUAGCAAUGAUCAACAAUCAAUUUGCCAGAGCUUAUAUUGUAAAAUAUUGUGCAAUGCUCUUAGACGUAGACCCAGAAAGACUCACAACCGUAAUCACUGCCAAAGGUGACUAUAACAUGUAUUGACUCAGGGUUGAAUACGUAUCUAAUCAAGAUAUACUGUAGUGUAUUAGUGUUACAUUUUUUUACUACAUUACUUUUUCUUUCACUUUGACAUUACAGUAUUUUGUGUAAAUCAUUAACCAAAAAUUACAAUUACAUCCAUUUUAAAUCCACUUACCAAUACAGGAGUGGCAAGGAGUGGAAUGUUAGCUAAAAAUAAUGGUACUCAGACUAGGAGUGAAUGCCAGGGAGAGAGAUAAAGGUGGAACACAGUGAUGAAGAGCAGUUUGAAUCAAUUCCAGGCAGGCAGAAGAAUAUACAGGAUGUGCUAAAAGCUGCAGAACGCAUCACAGGCUUACACUGUCAGCUAUCUGUAGGGACAUGCCAUCCCCUGAGGGCUUGCUGGAUGAUUUCUGCAACCCUGUGUUUUUAACACUUUAGAAGGAACAGCAUAGUAGACCUACAGCAUAUGCCCAGAGCCGUGCCUUUUGUUCCAGUUAUUUUCUACCCAGCAUGUUGAUCACCCCACCUCAAAAGUCCAUUACAGGGCCAAUGUAGCACCUUCUCACACCACGUGUCAAUUAAUUGUCACGUGUGUAGGCUAUACCGUAAUUAUCUAACAUAAGGGUGGCUACUUUGAAUAAUCUAAAAUCUAAUAUGUAUUACCACUUUUUUGGUUACUACAUGAUUCCAUAUUUGUUAUUUCCUAGUUUUGAUGUCUUCACUAUUAUUCUACAAUGUAGAAAAUAGUCAAAAUAAAGCAAAACCCUUGAAUGAGUAGGUGUGUCCAAACUUUUGACUGGUACUGUACAUGCGGUAAAGAGAUCAAUGGAACACAGAUAGUUGGGGGAAGAACACCAUCAUUACAUUUUAGUCAUUUAGCAGACUUACAGUAAUGAAUACAUACAUUUCAUGCAUUUUUUUUGUACUGGCCCCCCGUGGGAAUCAAACCCACAACCCUGCCGUUGCACACACCAUGCUCUACCAACUGAGCCACAGGGAAGGCUGUCCUUCAUUGGCGGACAUUCAAAGAAUCUCUCCUUACAAAGUGGAUAUUUGUAAAAUUCGUCAUGUGUUUUGUGUUCUUACCAGCCCACAAUCACAAUGUGGUUACUAAAAUCCAAUUUGGAUAUAUUUAGUUGUUUUCGAAAUAGUAAUUUUUGCGGGUUCGAAAAAAUGUCUGCUAUAUGCUAUCUCCCGUCCGUAUAAGGUGGUAGCAUAGCUUGCCAUAUAGAAAUCGGUGGUGGUACUUGAAGCCAUUUUAAUAACGCAGUAAUGAUGACAUAAACAUGUAUUGGGGUUGACAUCCAGUCACAACGUCUACGGAAGGUGAUGCCUCUCCCCGUUCGGGCGGCGCUCGGCCGUCGUCGUCGCCGGCCUACUAGCUGCCACCGAUCCCCUUUUCAUUUUCAUUUGGUGAUGUCUGUUUUGUGUUAGCACCUGUUUUGAGUUAGUUCGUUAGUGGGGGUACUUAAUCUGUCUUUCUAGGUUUAGGUUUGUGCGGGAUUGUGUUUUCUGUCGUGGGGUUUGGGGAUUGGUUUUUCUCUACCUUAUUUUAGUCGCAAGUACGGGUUUCCCUGGGCUGUGUCCCGACUCAGUUCGGGUGUAUUUUGCCUAUUUGGAUUCCUUGUUCCCUGCCUUGUGUUCGGCAUUUUUGGAUUGGGUAUCUAUUAAACGUGUUUCACGUACCUUUGGUCUCCUGCGCCUGACUUCACCCCUCCUGCAUUUCUAGAGUAUCCUGACACAUCCAUCAUACUCCGAUUUUUACCCCAAAAUAGUGUAAUACACAUAUAGCCUAAAUGUAAGCUCAUUUUGAUGGGGGACAAUGAGGUGUUUAUGAAUAUUUCCCCAUGGGGGAAGGGUGUGAGUGACGUUGCCAUAGCAUUUUUCCAUUGUUUUGGUCGGGUUUGAUUGAUCUCUACCGAAUCCAUGCAGAAAAGUGAGGUGUAGAAUUAAUGAUCUACUAAUAAUAUUCCUGCUUAAUAACAGGUUUUGUGCGAUCGAGAUUUGCAGAGCUACGUCUUCCCUGGCUCAGGCAAUCCUCCCUGCCAAGCAUACGUUCGCAUGACCAGACGUUGUUUUGUUGAUUGGAGACAGCUUGGGUCAACUCCAGAACAUUUCCUAGGAUUUCCUACAUGCAGUAACCCAAGAGCGGGAUGCUGGAGAUAUCGAAUACUGCCUCAACAAAUGGAAGCAGCAGGUAAUCAAGACAUGUUCCAGAUGGUCAGCGAAC